UGGCGGCGUGCUUACACAUGCAAGUCGAGCGAUGAACUACUUCGGUAGUGAAUUAGCGGCGAACGGGUGAGGAACACGUGAGGAAUCUGCCUUCUACACUGGGAUAACUCCGGGAAACCGGGGCUAAUACCGGAUAUGAAACUUGGUGGCAUCACCGAGUUUGGAAAGUUUUUCGGUAGAAGAUGACCUCGCGGCCUAUCAGCUUGUUGGUGAGGUAAUGGCUCACCAAGGCGACGACGGGUAGCCGGCCUGAGAGGGCGACCGGCCACACUGGGACUGAGACACGGCCCAGACUCCUACGGGAGGCAGCAGUGGGGAAUAUUGGGCAAUGGAGGAAACUCUGACCCAGCGACGCCGCGUGCGGGAUGAAGGCCUUCGGGUUGUAAACCGCUUUCAGUAGGGAAGAAGCGAAAGUGACGGUACCUACAGAAGAAGCACCGGCUAACUAUGUGCCAGCAGCCGCGGUAAUACAUAGGGUGCAAGCGUUGUCCGGAAUUAUUGGGCGUAAAGAGCUCGUAGGUGGUUCGUUACGUCGGAUGUGAAAAUCUGGGGCUCAACCCCAGACCUGCAUCCGAUACGGUCGAGCUAGAGUUUUGGUAGGGGAGACUGGAAUUCCUGGGUGUAGCGGUGGAAUGCGCAGAUAUCAGGAGGAACA
rnacentral:rRNA from 1 species